AUUCACAGCUGACGAGUCCCAAGUAGGACAAAACGCGCGUCUUGGAU
rfam:Schistosoma mansoni strain Puerto Rico chromosome W, complete genome